CCUUACUACUUGGAUAACCGUGGUAAUUCUAGAGCUAAUACAUGCUAAAAAUCCCGACUUCGGAAGGGAUGUAUUUAUUAGAUUAAAAACCAAUGCCCUCUGGGCUCCUUGGUGAUUCAUAAUAACUUUUCGAAUCGCAUGGCCUUGCGCCGGCGAUGGUUCAUUCAAAUUUCUUCCCUAUCAACUUUCGAUGUUUGGGUAUUGGCCAAACAUGGUCGCAACGGGUAACGGAGGGUUAGGGCUCGACCCCGGAGAAGGAGCCUGAGAAACGGCUACUACAUCCAAGGAAGGCAGCAGGCGCGCAAAUUACCCAAUCCCGAUUCGGGGAGGUAGUGACAAUAAAUACUGAUACAGGGCUCUUUUGGGUCUUGUAAUUGGAAUGAGUACAAUUUAAAUCCCUUAACGAGGAACAAUUGGAGGGCAAGUCUGGUGCCAGCAGCCGCGGUAAUUCCAGCUCCAAUAGCGUAUAUUAAAGUUGUUGUGGUUAAAAAGCUCGUAGUUGAACCUUGGGCCUGGCUGGCCGGUCCGCCUCACCGCGUGUACUGGUCCGGCCGGGCCUUUCCCUCUGUGGAACCUCAUGCCCUUCACUGGGUGUGGCGGGGAAACAGGACUUUUACUUUGAAAAAAUUAGAGUGCUCCAGGCAGGCCUAUGCUCGAAUACAUUAGCAUGGAAUAAUGAAAUAGGACGUGUGGUUCUAUUUUGUUGGUUUCUAGGACCGCCGUAAUGAUUAAUAGGGACAGUCGGGGGCAUCAGUAUUCAAUUGUCAGAGGUGAAAUUCUUGGAUUUAUUGAAGACUAACUACUGCGAAAGCAUUUGCCAAGGAUGUUUUCAUUAAUCAGGAACGAAAGUUAGGGGAUCGAAGACGAUCAGAUACCGUCGUAGUCUUAACCAUAAACUAUGCCGACUAGGGAUCGGACGA
rnacentral:rRNA from 1 species